rnacentral:rRNA from 1 species
CCUACGGGCGGCUGCAGUGGGGAAUAUUGCACAAUGGGGGAAACCCUGAUGCAGCCAUGCCGCGUGUGUGAAGAAGGCCUUCGGGUUGUAAAGCACUUUCAGCGAGGAGGAAAGGUUGGCGCCUAAUACGUGUCAACUGUGACGUUCCUCGCAGAAGCAGCCACGGCUAACUCGGUGCCAGCAGCUGCGGUAAUUCGGAGGGUGCGAGCGUUAAUCGGAAUUACUGGGCGUAAAGCGCACGCAGGCGGUUGGAUAAGUUAGAGGUGAAAGCCCGGGGCUCAACCUGGGAAUUGCAUUUAAAACUGUCCAGCUAGAGGCAUGUAGAGGGGGGUAGAAUUCCAGGUGUAGCGGUGAAAUGCGUAGAGAUCUGGAGGAAUACCGGUGGCGAAAGCGGCCCCCUGGACAAAGACUGACGCUCAGGUGCGAAAGCGUGGGGAGCAAACAGGAUUAGAUACCCGUGUAGUC